rnacentral:rRNA from 1 species
GAUGAACGCUAGCUACAGGCUUAACACAUGCAAGUCGAGGGGCAGCAUGAACUUAGCUUGCUAAGUUUGAUGGCGACCGGCGCACGGGUGAGUAACACGUAUCCAACCUGCCGAUGACUCGGGGAUAGCCUUUCGAAAGAAAGAUUAAUACCCGGUGGCAUAGUUCUUCCGCAUGGUAGAACUAUUAAAGAAUUUCGGUCAUCGAUGGGGAUGCGUUCCAUUAGGUUGUUGGCGGGGUAACGGCCCACCAAGCCUUCGAUGGAUAGGGGUUCUGAGAGGAAGGUCCCCCACAUUGGAACUGAGACACGGUCCAAACUCCUACGGGAGGCAGCAGUGAGGAAUAGUGGUCAAUGGACGAGAGUCUGAACCAGCCAAGUAGCGUGAAGGAUGACUGCCCUAUGGGUUGUAAACUUCUUUUAGACGGGAAGAAAGUGAGGCACGGGUGCCUUUUUGUAUGUACCGUAUGAAUAAGGAUCGGCUAACUCCGUG